GUUUGAAUGAUGACUUAAGUUGUCGGAUACCCCUUCACUCCUUCUAUGAGUGAAAUCUCAUAGUCUGACAAAC
ensembl:snoRNA small nucleolar RNA, C/D box 101